rnacentral:rRNA from 1 species
CCUACGGGAGGCAGCAGCUUCUACGCCGAUCCGUCGCGGGCGCCGCAACUGCUGCGGUUCUGCUUCUCGAAGCGCGACGAAACGCUGCACGAAGCCGAUCGCCGGCUCGCACGGCUCUCGAUGAGAUCGGCUAAUCGGGCCUGAUCGAGACUAGCGGGGCCACGAGACGAUUUCGUACAGCCACACGUCGCCGUCUUUCUCCAGCAGCCGCGGUAAU